ensembl:lncRNA
GGACCCCGGGCUCUUGCCCGCAGGAUCCGCCAGGUUCCAGCAUGGUGGUGUCGCCGGCCCCGUCCACGCCCGGCCUGCGGGGUCGACGGCAACAACAGCUCCCCCUGUCGUGACCCGCGCCCCGCCCCGCCCCUUCACCCGGGACGGCGCGGGACGCCAGGCUGACCCGAACUCGAGGGAACAGAGACUGAGGCCGAGGGAACAGAGACUGAGGCCUAGGGAAGCGGAGUGGACUGCGGGUCACCCAGGGGAGCGGUCAGACCCAGGACGAGCACUAGCCCUACCUUCCGUCUCGCGUGGAAAUGAGCCAUCUGAUGGCAUCAAAAGCAAAAACCAGAAACUGAGCCAAACCGAGCUCCACCACGCCCACCGUCCUCCCAGGCCCCAGCAGAGGGGUGGCCCUGACUCCCGGCCCAGCCAGGCCACCAGGGUCUCACCUGUCGGAAGCUCCUGGAGCAGGUGAAAGAGAACCCUUCUUCAUUCUCUCGUCCUGCUAUGUAAGAAACUCGUCUUCUCCCAAAGCCGACCCUGGCCCGUCCUGCUCAUUGGAAUCAUUUCUCUGCUCGGCAUCUCUCAGGCACCGCGGUCUCUGCUGCUGAGUAAAAUCUUCCUUCUCUUCUCCGCUCUCACUGCGCCCGUGACAGGGCGUCUGCAGGGCCACUGGGGACCUGGGAGUUGGCUUUGUACAGCAGGACUGCGGCGGCUCUCUGAGCCCGGGCCAUCCCUUCUCCACACAUCGUCCACACGAGCACAUAGUAGGUUCUGCAGAAACGAUUCUCGAAUUAAUAACAGGAGUAGGACCUAUAGGGCUAUCUCCUGGCCUGAUAGCUGUGCUGGUAGUCACUGGCAAUAAUUCUAAACGUCUGUGUUUCGCUGCUACACACUUGCACAUGAUAGUUAAUCGCCAAGAUGAGACAUAUUAGUCCAUGUGGUAAAUGGAAGAGCAAAACAAAACAAGAAUAACUGCUAACGUUACUGGUUGUUUUGUGUUGGAUUCUUUGAGGUCGCCA